AGGAGACAGGGGUCGGCAGCCGGGGUACUGCGUAGGGUGCGAGCUUUUUGCGUGAGUAGUGUGCGUAAAGGGCUUGGAGGCGGGUGGUCGCGUCUGCUGUGAAAAUCCGGGGCUCAACCCCGGACCUGCAGUGGGUACGGGCAGACUAGAGUAUGGUAGGGGAGACUGGAAUUCCUGGUGUAGCGGUGAAAUGCGCAGAUAUCAGGAGGAACACCGAUGGCGAAGGCAGGUCUCUGGGUCAAAACUGACGCUCAUGCACGAAAGCGUGGGGAGCAAACAGGAUUAGAUACCCGAGUAGUC
rnacentral:rRNA from 1 species